CUCUGCUUUCUUCCUGUCACCCCCUUUUCUCUUUCCAUCAUCAUUUACAGCCAUUUCCUGCCAUUGUGUGGGCCCAGCUAUAGGAGGGAAGUCAGAAGCAGUCAGACUGGGAAUCAAGAUUGGACAUCGCUCGCCUCUGCGCAGGAUCACGGAGGGAGGGAACCCAUGGAUAUGUGGAGGGAUCAGCUAGCUGUUCUUGGGAUUCUCCUGCUAAAGCAAAAUGCCACUGCUGGAACCCCUGCAAGGAGAGAUCUUUCCAGAAUCCCCAAGGAAGACUUCAGAAAAGACCUGCUCCACAGAUUCCUGAAAUUAUGGGACCAGUUCUGUGGGGAAUUAGAAAUGGGUUCUGUUGUUUGGCCCUGUUGGAAGCUGAAAUAGAUAGGAAAAAAAAGGAGAAACCAAUGGAAGUGACUGAUAAACCUGGUGGAAUGGAAUGGCUUUAACAAUGACUUUGAGGUCUGAAAGCUGACUUGAAAUCCUGGCCCAUACAUUUAAUGGCUGUGUGGGGCCCUUAGCAUCUGAAAAUAAAGGAAUUGGAAAAGAU